rnacentral:rRNA from 1 species
GAGUUUGAUCCUGGCUCAGAUUGAACGCUGGCGGCAGGCCUAACACAUGCAAGUCGAGCGGAUGACGGGAGCUUGCUCCUUGAUUCAGCGGCGGACGGGUGAGUAAUGCCUGGGAAUCUGCCUGGUAGUGGGGGACAACGUUUCGAAAGGAACGCUAAUACCGCAUACGUCCUACGGGAGAAAGCAGGGGACCUUCGGGCCUUGCGCUAUCAGAUGAGCCUAGGUCGGAUUAGCUAGUUGGUGGGUAAUGGCUCACCAAGGCGACGAUCCGUAGCAGGUCUGAGAGGAUGAUCUGCCGACACUGGAACUGAGACACGGUCCA